rnacentral:rRNA from 1 species
GAUGAACGCUGGCGGCGUGCCUAAUACAUGCAAGUCGAACGAAACUUCUUUAUCACCGAGUGCUUGCACUCACCGAUAAAGAGUUGAGUGGCGAACGGGUGAGUAACACGUGGGCAACCUGCCCAAAAGAGGGGGAUAACACUUGGAAACAGGUGCUAAUACCGCAUAACCAUAGUUACCGCAUGGUAACUAUGUAAAAGGUGGCUAUACUACCGCUUUUGGAUGGGCCCGCGGCGCAUUAGCUAGUUGGUAGGGUAAAGGCUUACCAAGGCAAUGAUGCGUAGCCGAAUUGAGAGGUUGAUCGGCCACAUUGGGACUGAGACACGACCCAAACUCCUACGGGAGGCAGCAGUAGGGAAUCUUCCACAAAGGGCGAAAGCCUGAUGGAGCAACGCCGCGUGGGUGAAGAAGGUCUUCGGAUCGUAAAACCCUGUUGUUAGAGAAGAAAGUGCGUGAGAGUAACUGUUCACGUUUAGACGGUAUCUAACCAGAAAGCCACUGCUAACUACGUG